rnacentral:lncRNA from 1 species
CUAGAUGCUUAAACCUCGGUGUGAGCCACGAGCUGGGUGAAUUCAGACAGGAAGUGGGCUCUGACUCAGAUGAAAACACACGACAUGGGCCCAGCAGCCUGAGCCUGAAGUCCCUGCCCUCAGAAAGCAGCAGCUGAAGAAUUACCAUAGGAUAGACAGGAGUCUAACCUGAUCUGCAUAGUCAGCCAGAGUAGUCAAUGUUCCAGUAAGAACCUGUCCCCAAACCAACACAGUACAAAGUCAGAGGCUGGAGAGCUGGCCACACAGUCACAAGCCUGUACUACAGGCUGGAGAGCUGGCUCAGCAGUUACUAGCACUGGCUCUUCUGGAGGUCCCAGGUUCAAUUCCUAUCACCUACCUGGCAGCUCACAGUUCCAGGGGAUCUGACAUCGUCACAUAGACACACAUGCAGGCAACACAUCAAUGCACAUACAAUAAACGUAGUAAAAUUAAAACAUAAUAACAAUGAUAAACCCUCUACUGCUCUUGCAGAGGACCUACAUUCAAUUCCUGGCACCUAGAAGGGCAGCUCACAAUGAC